rnacentral:rRNA from 1 species
UUUAAAUGUAAAAAAAAUUCUUAAUUAGUAUAAGUUAUAUUCUUUAAAGUUAAAGAUUUUGGCGGUAUUUUAGUCUUUUCAGAGGAACCUGUUCUAUAAUUGAUAGUCCACGAUUUAUUUCACUUAUUUUAAUUAAUUUGUAUAUCGUCGUAGUUUGAAUAUUUUAUAAGAAUUUAAAAUAUUCUUAAUUUUUUAUAAAAAAAGAAAUCAGAUCAAGGUGCAGUUUAUAAAUAAGAAGUAAUGGGUUACAAUAAUAAUAUUUAUAUGGUAUAAUAUUUGAAUAAAUUUUAUUAAAGUGGAUUUGAAAGUAAUAUGUUUUAAUUAAAAUAUAUGAUUUAAGCUCUAAAAUAUGU